AUUGAACGCUGGCGGCAGGCUUAACACAUGCAAGUCGAGCGGAGAUGAGGUGCUUGCACCUUAUCUUAGCGGCGGACGGGUGAGUAAUGCUUAGGAGUCUGCCUAUUAGUGGGGGACAACAUUCCGAAAGGAAUGCUAAUACCGCAUACGUCCUACGGGAGAAAGCAGGGGAUCUUCGGACCUUGCGCUAAUAGAUGAGCCUAAGUCGGAUUAGCUAGUUGGUGGGGUAAAGGCCUACCAAGGCGACGAUCUGUAGCGGGUCUGAGAGGAUGAUCCGCCACACUGGGACUGAGACACGGCCCAGACUCCUACGGGAGGCAGCAGUGGGGAAUAUUGGACAAUGGGCGGAAGCCUGAUCCAGCCAUGCCGCGUGUGUGAAGAAGGCCUUCUGGUUGUAAAGCACUUUAAGCGAGGAGGAGGCUACCUAGAUUAAUACUCUGGGAUAGUGGACGUUACUCGCAGAAUAAGCACCGGCUAACUCUGUGCCAGCCGCCGCGGUAAAAC
rnacentral:rRNA from 1 species